UGAUAGGUUAGGGGAAUACAUGGUAAAAAACGGUUACAAAAAGUGUCUUAGAAGAUUUAAAUAUGAUGGGAAAUCAAAUUACAACAGACUAGGAUCUAACUAGAAGUUAUUUUACAAAAAUUUAGAGUCUAAAAAUUCUCAGUAAUGUUCGAAUUAAUCUAUGGAGAAUUACAAAUAAUUUCUUGCCUACUUUAAGUAAUUUAAAAGGUCGUAGACUGAUAUAUGAUGCUUUAUGCCCACUUUGUGGAGAAGAAGAUGAGUUUGUAAGCCACAUCUUCCGAGACUACAUCCUCGCAAAACAAGUCGUCCAGUAAAUGACAUUGACAUUGGUCCCCGUUCAUGAAAAUCAAGAAUGGAAACAAUGGUUAGCGGAGACUUUCAAUCUCAAUAAUGCAUAUAAAUGUUCAUGCUUAGCAGUAUCAUUAAGGGCAAUAUGGCAUAACAAGACUAUAUAUUUCCUUGAAAGCAUCAGACAAAGAACAUGCGAGAUUGUAGCUUAUAUUAAAGCAUACUUAGCGGAUCUUGACAAGCUAAAGGAAGCACUAAAAUGUCAACAUAACACAGUGAUUACCCAAUGAGAGCCUCCAUCAGAAAGUCAAGUUAAAAUUAAUUUUGAUUUUGCGUUUCUUCAACAAAGCAACAAAGCAGUCUUAGGAAUUAUCAUUAGAAAUCAUACGGGGCUUGUAAUGGGUUUGUGUUCUUACUCGAUCUAUAAUGUUAGAGAUCUAACAAUUGCUAAAGAGUAUGCAUACCUUAAAUGAGCCGUUUUUGCUAAAAAAAAAUGGGAUUUAGUGAUGUUAUCAUAGAAGGGGACUCAAGGAUCGUUAUUCAAAAACUGCAAAACCAUGGAAAUGACAAAUCAGUCGUCGGGGGAGUUAUAAACAAAAUAAUAGCAAUGUCAAGAAUUUUUUGAAAUAUUGAGUUCCGAUUCAUACCGCAAAAAGCCAACGGAGCGGCGCAUACAAUGGCUGCAUAGGGCAGAGGAAGCGAUUUUUCGACUUUCUAGGUGGAAAAAACUCCAUUGGAGGUUGAACCUAUCAUAGCUAGAGACCAAAGAAGAACUGAUUAAUGAAAAUGUAUGGAUGUUUGAUGGACUAAGUCUAAAAAAGAAGACGGGUUAACAAAGCUCCGAGGAACUCAAAAGAUGAUGGACCGGGGGAACGAAGUCAAGACGAGAAUAAAGGAUUUGUUUUAACAGGUCCACCGUUGAAAUGAAUUUUGGCAAUGCGACAAAAGAAGGGAAGAAUAAGGGAAGGUUAAGUCUUUAGGGUUUUCUUGUUGUGUUCUUUUUUAGGAAAAUUUGCGUUUUCUUCACUUACAAAAGUGUAGGGGACUGGUUUUAUCUUAAGAAAUGAAAAAUUGAGGCUUCGCCCACUCUUUCGUGAUGUUUUG
rnacentral:lncRNA from 1 species